GCACAAGCGGUGGAGCAUGUGGUUCAAUUCGACGCAACGCGAAGAACCUUACCUGGGCUCGAAGCGUAGUGGACCGCGGUAGAAAUAUCGCUUUCCCGCAAGGGACCGCUACGUAGGUGCUGCAUGGCUGUCGUCAGCUCGUGUCGUGAGAUGUUGGGUUAAGUCCCGCAACGAGCGCAACCCUUAUUGCCAGUUGCCAUCAUUCAGUUGGGCACUCUGGCGAAACCGCCCCGGAUAACGGGGAGGAAGGUGGGGAUGACGUCAAGUCCUCAUGGCCUUUAUGUCCAGGGCUACACACGUGCUACAAUGGUUGGUACAAACCGUCGCAAACCCGCGAGGGGGAGCUAAUCGGAAAAAGCCAAUCCCAGUCCGGAUUGGAGUCUGCAACUCGACUCCAUGAAGCUGGAAUCGCUAGUAAUCGCAGAUCAGAACGCUGCGGUGAAUACGUUCCCGGGC
rnacentral:rRNA from 1 species